rnacentral:lncRNA from 1 species
AUCAUGGUCAUGGCUGGAUUUGUUGAGGUCAAAUGGGGAUUGGUCAAUAAGGAAAUCGUCAAAGGAAAAUCGAACGGUGAAGAUGGAAUCAAGGGAGGAGAGAGAGGGAGAGAAAGACAGAGGAAAAGAGGGAGACAUGGAAAUGGAGAGGAGAUGGUGGCCACGACCCCUCCUCUAUGAUCUUCUGAUGGCCAUAGGGUGGGUAGAGGACUCACCCCACCAACCUCUCUUGCACCUGAGAGAGAAGAAGACGAAUCACUGGCCACCAAGCGGCCACUAGGAUGGCAUUAGCCAACCACAGCGAAAGAAAUGUGGAAUAGAGGAUUUGUUGAUUUAUAGCUUGAUUGGCUAGUUAUCAAGCGAUUGAAUCCAAAAAGCAUAUUGGCAAUCAGGUGAUAGCAGGGGAA